rnacentral:rRNA from 1 species
UUGGAGGGCAAGUCUGGUGCCCGCAGCCGCGGUAAUUCCAGCUCCAAUAGCGUAUAUUAAAGUUGUUGCAGUUAAAAAGCUCGUAGUUGAAUUUCGGGAUCAAUAUGCUGGUCGUGCCUUUGGUACGUACUGGUAUUAUUGGUUUCUCCUUUCUGAUGAAUCACGAUGUCAUUAAUUUGGUGUCAUGGGGAAUCAGGACUGUUACUUUGAAAAAAUUAGAGUGUUUAAAGCAGGCUCACGCUUGAAUACAUUAGCAUGGAAUAACGAAAUAGGACGUUUGAUUCUAUUUUGUUGGUUUCUAGGAUCGACGUAAUGAUUAAUAGGGAUAGUUGGGGGCAUUAGUAUUCAAUUGUCAGAGGUGAAAUUCUUGGAUUUAUUGAAGACUAACUACUGCGAAAGCAUUUGCCAAGGAUGUUUUCAUUAAUCAAGAACGAAAGUUAGGGGAUCGAAGACGAUCAGAUACCGUCGUAGUCUUAACCAUAAACUAUGCCGACUAGGGAUCGGAUGAUGUUAAUUUUUUAAUGACUCAUUCGGCGCCUUACGGGAAAC